rnacentral:lncRNA from 1 species
UCCCAGAACCAGAAAUUUGAUAAGGACAGUUCAGAUUUCGGCCGAUUUAUCCGAAAUCCGGAUUAAAGGGGUCCGAAUAAACGAGGGUCGACUUUAUACAUUUAUACUUGGUUGUUUUACAAUCAGUUUCACCAAAUACUUGCUACCACAUACGCUAUACUUUUGAACCAAGAAAAACUGUCGGUGAGCGGCCUGUCAUUCCCAAAAGAGAGGAUUGGUAUUUGAUCUCAAGGACAUGAAAAUUUUAAAGGAAUUGUUAGUAAAAAUGUGAGAGAAAAACAUUACAAACAGCUAGAUUAAUGGAGUAGCCAGGCUGUACAUUUAAUCAAAAUACUGUACUGGGUUACAUUUAGUGUAAUUUUCUUAUAUUUUUCUCAUCAUUGUAGAGUUAAUCAAUAUUUUUAUUUAUUUAUUUUUUAAUCAACAGCUUUUGGAUCAAGCAUUGGCUAAUCCUGCUCAGGCACAGUUUCUGGUUCCCGAGGCAAUAGCCCGCUUCCGUGGAUUUGGUGGAGUCAGGAUUGAGGAUGAUAUUGUUGUGACUGUCGAUGGCACGGAAGACCUUGCGCAGGGUACUAUUCCACAAACUGUGGAGGAGAUUGAAGAACUUAUGGCUGAAGGUCAACAGGAGGAUGUGUUUGUCCCUCAGCUUCGUGCUCAGGAGAAGCUUGGUCAGUAAUUAAUGGUGCUUUAACUUACACCAUUGAGUAAAGAAGAUGAGGAAUAGGAUGGACACAAGAAGACGUUUUAUCCUUACAUAAAAUGUAUAGUUAUUUCAGCCUCGCUUUAGGUUAGAUUAUUAUAACAAAGUAAAUGUUUUAAAUAAUUAGAAUGCCAAAAGUUUAUUUGAUUAAACUUGGAACUAGAAAUUUACUUUAUUAAUGGAGUUAUGUGCCUUAGACAUUUACUGUAUUAAUGGAGAUAUGUGCCUUAGACAUUUACUAUAUUAAUGGAGUUAUUGUGCCUUAGACAUUUACUAUAUUAAUGGAGUUAUGUGCCUUAGACAUUUACUAUAUUAAUGGAGUUAUGUGCCUUAGACAUUUACUAUAUUAAUGGAGAUAUGUACCUUAGACAUUUACUAUAUUAAUGGAGUUAUGUGCCUUAGACAUUUACUAUAUUAAUUGAGUUAUGUGCCUUAGACAUUUACUGUAUUAAUGGAGAUAUGUGCCUUAGACAUUUACUAUAUUAAUGGAGAUAUGUGCCUUAGACAUUUACUAUAUUAAUGGAGAUAUGAGCCUUAGACAUUUACUAUAUUAAUGGAGUUAUGUGCCUUAGACAUUUACUAUAUUAAUGGAGUUAUGUGCCUUAGACAUUUGCUAUAUUAAUGGAGUUAUGUGCCUUAGACAUUUACUAUAUUAAUGGAGAUAUGUACCUUAGACAUUUACUAUAUUAAUGGAGUUAUGUGCCUUAGACAUUUACUAUAUUAAUGGAGUUAUGUGCCAUAGACAUUUACUAUAUUAAUGGAGAUAUGUGCCUUAGACAUUUACUAUAUUAAUGGAGAUAUGUGCCUUAGACAUUUACUAUAUUAAUGGAGAUAUGUGCCUUAGACAUUUACUAUAUUAAUGGAGAUAUGUGCCUUAGACAUUUACUAUAUUAAUGGAGAUAUGUG